rnacentral:tRNA from 1 species
UCCGCGGUAGCUCAACGGUAGAGCAGCCGACUGUUAAUCGGCUGGUUGCUGGUUCGAAUCCAGCCCGCGGAG